GACGAACGCUGGCGGCGUGCUUAACACAUGCAAGUCGAACGGAAAGGCCCUGCUUUUGUGGGUUGCUCGAGUGGCGAACGGGUGAGUAACACGUGAGUAACCUGCCCUUGACUUUGGGAUAACUUCAGGAAACUGGGGCUAAUACCGGAUAGGAGCUCCUGCUGCAUGGUGGGGGUUGGAAAGUUUCGGCGGUUGGGGAUGGACUCGCGGCUUAUCAGCUUGAUGGUGGGGUAGUGGCUUACCAGGGCUUUGACGGGUAGCCGGCAUUGGAGGGUGGACGGCCUCAUGGGGACUGAGAGACGGCGCAGACUCCUACGGGAGGCAGUAGGGGGGAAUAUGGCACAAUGGGCGGAAGCCUGAGGCAGCAACGCCGCGUGCGUGAUGACGGCUUUUGGGUUGUAAACCGCUUUCGCCGGUGACGAAGAGUGAGUGACGGUAAUGGGUAAAGAAGCACCGGCUAACUACGUG
rnacentral:rRNA from 1 species